GCAGUAUAAGCGCACUGCGAAUGGCUCAUUAUAUAAGUUAUCGUUUAUUUGAUAGUACCUUACUACUUGGAUAACCGUGGUAAUUCUAGAGCUAAUACAUGCUAAAAAUCCCGACUUCGGAAGGGAUGUAUUUAUUAGAUUAAAAACCAAUGCCCUCUGGGCUCCUUGGUGAUUCAUGAUAACUCUUCGAAUCGCACGGCCUUGCGCCGGCGAUGGUUCAUUCAAAUUUCUUCCCUAUCAACUUUCGAUGUUUGGGUAUUGGCCAAACAUGGUUGCAACGGGUAACGGAGGGUUAGGGCUCGACCCCGGAGAAGGAGCCUGAGAAACGGCUACUACAUCCAAGGAAGGCAGCAGGCGCGCAAAUUACCCAAUCCCGAUUCGGGGAGGUAGUGACAAUAAAUACUGAUACAGGGCUCUUUUGGGUCUUGUAAUUGGAAUGAGUACAAUUUAAAUCUCUUAACGAGGAACAAUUGGAGGGCAAGUCUGGUGCCAGCAGCCGCGGUAAUUCCAGCUCCAAUAGCGUAUAUUAAAGUUGUUGUGGUUAAAAAGCUCGUAGUUGAACCUUGGGCCUGGCUGGCCGGUCCGCCUCACCGCGUGCACUGGUCCGGCCGGGCCUUUCCCUCUGUGGAACCCCAUGCCCUUCACUGGGCGUGGCGGGGAAACAGGACGUUUACUUUGAAAAAAUUAGAGUGCUCCAGGCAGGCCUAUGCUCGAAUACAUUAGCAUGGAAUAAUGAAAUAGGACGCGUGGUUCUAUUUUGUUGGUUUCUAGGACCGCCGUAAUGAUUAAUAGGGACAGUCGGGGGCAUCAGUAUUCAAUUGUCAGAGGUGAAAUUCUUGGAUUUAUUGAAGACUAACUACUGCGAAAGCAUUUGCCAAGGAUGUUUUCAUUAAUCAGGAACGAAAGUUAGGGGAUCGAAGACGAUCAGAUACCGUCGUAAUCU
rnacentral:rRNA from 1 species